CACUGCAGUGCACUCAAAAUUUUCCACAUGUACUGUGUCACAAGUGCAGACUGUACAAUGAAAGCAAACGCCUUCUGCUCGAGGUUCUGAUUUUAUUAAUAAUCUAGGAAAAAGUGAUCGGCGAUUAGCUGGCUGACAGCAGUACAGUAUAGCCACUGUGUGUAACUCUGUGCGCGUGUCAAAUGUGUAUUUCAUCCUUCAAAAACAGAAUUAGCUCUGACAGCAGAUUUGCGUGCAGUACCUGAGUGCUGGGCACAAUCAGCGGGAGCAGGAGGAGGAGCGUGCUGAUGUACAGUGGGGCAUUUUGUACCGAUCGUCAUCAGAUGCAUAGCAAUGAGGCACGGAAUAGAAAAAGAAGGCGGUGUUGCUGGCUGGUAAAUAUUUUCUGCCCUUAGCCUCUGCAUUUUGCUGACAUUGUGAGAAUCUCGGAAACUGGCUGAUGAAUGUAGCAGAAGUAGAUGGCUCUUGGUGUUUUGACACUUUGUGGCAGCUUCUAGUAGAAGACAAUGUUGUUCAACUUUGAAUUUGACAAAAUUCUGCAACUUCUACCUGAAGUGUUGGUGUUUUGAUUUGCUGAACGCGUUCCCUUUACCUGCAAGCACUCCGUUCAUUGCUAAUCUCUACACGUUUUGGAAGCCGGUAAUUUGAUUGUGACGGAUUUUAUUUUAUUUGCCAUACUGAGGUAAAUCCACGUAAAUCACACUCUGGGGAGCGCUCUUUCCUUCUGGCCCCUUUAUUUUUUCCAGCUGUAGCCUCUGCUCUGACCACAGAGGGCAGAGCCCUUUCUGCGGCUGAGCGCCUCCAUCCCGAGCAGCUGCUGCAACUGCCACACCACGCAGUGCCACAGCUCUGCACCGCGAGCACCAAAGAGUUAAGCACGUUCCCAGGCUGGGAGCAUUUAGAGCAUUCUUUCCCAGACUGCCGAGAUCAUGGGCUCCUAAUUAUUGCUGCUUGCAAACGCUAGGGCUGUCCUAUAUUCCGCAUAAUUAACAUUGGACUGCUGAUCAAUAAUCAGCAAUAUUCCAGUGCCAAAAUCAAUAGCGAUCCCAGUGCUUUGGUGGCACAAGAGUAGAGCCUGGCAGACGUGAGGCUCAGGCAGGCACGUGGAAUGUGUCCCUUCUUCCUUCAUGGUGCAGUGCACCCUCUACUUCCUAGCAGCUGCAUUAAGAAAGGUGCUGGCCAGUCUGCACACCUCGUCUUUCUUACAAUCGCUUUGAUUCCUUCAUUCAAAUCCAAGGCUCACUUGCUGUUUUGGCGUUACGCAGAUGUGCGUGCGUGUGUGGUAUGGAAUACAGCAGGUUAGGGGAAUAAAGGGAAAAGGAUUCUUGGAUGGCAGCGUUUAUCCUAGCCUGAAAGGAAGGAGUUAGACGUUACUUCUGGCAGUGAGAACUGUGUUCCUGUCCACGGGGACUGCUGAUGGGCUGGGAGCGACGGGCAAUGUGCAGAGUCCCAGCGCUGCACCCAAAGUGCUGACUCGCAUUUCUGUGCAAAAAGCAAUUGCGGAGCGGUUGUUCACAACUGCCGCUCGGUCUCUCCUGGUGCUCCCCUCCCUUUUAUUAAACACAUCGCUGUCCUUUUCCCCCUUACGCUGUUUUUUGUUUGCUUGCGUCUUUUUUUUCAUUGAGCCACAUCGGGCACCUGAAUGGCUUCAUUGUUCGGCCUUCCUCUUUUCCUCCUCCAAACGCAAUUUUAAUUCCUGGAUUAUUUCAGAGCUAAACAAACACCGGCCACGUUCAGCACAAAGCCCUCCAGGCCCGUGCGGCUGCCCCGGGCCCACCGCCAGCGCUGCAGGGUGCGGAGGGCACCAGGUGAGCAGCGCAGCGCAGCCCUUGCCGGGACGGUGCUGCCACGCGCCGCAGCUCCGCGACAUUGCCACCGUUCAAUCUAUUCUCCCCUAACAGAUGAGAUCGAUCCUGACAACUCGUUCUCCGUGAAGGUGCCACGGUGUGCCAUUUAUUUGCAUUUACAUUGCGGCUCUCUUCAUCAAUCAGCUUUCAGAGAUCGCCACCGCUGCUGGCCAUAUUGUUGCUGCGCCGACACUUCAUCUUUAAGUGCCACUUGCGUAAUGGUACGGUGCGUGCCCAUGACCAAAGUUUAAAUCGGGGUUUAAUCAUUACGGAAAAACAAACAUAUUUGCAGGACUGCGUAUCCCGCAAGUAAAAGUAAAGGCAGUUUGCUCGGGUCACAGAUGCUAAUCUCCGCUCUUUUUCUGUUCACGAACUAUAGAGGGAGUUGACAGCACCUGCAAAUGGUUUUCUGAGGCGAGAUUACAUCUAAGGCGAUUAUUAUUUACACCCCCAUAAAGGCAGCGGGGAGGGCGGGCUGCUCUUCGGAGCCGGGCGCCGCCAAAUAAGGGCCCUUUUGCAGGGUUCGGGGGAGCGGGGGCGGCUCCGCGCGG
ensembl:lncRNA